ensembl:lncRNA
AUAGGAGCCUGCUUGUUCUGAAGGGCAGUAAAUGUUCUAGGGAAAUCAGCAAACUACAGGAAAGGAAAAGCUGAAAUUCUCUUGCCCAGAUUAUGAGUCAACAGGAAAAGGCAGAAGCGUGGCAUCCGAAUCAAUUUCACACUUAAUGGGAAAAAUGCAGAACCGCCGGGACAAAGCAGCCGACAAGGCACUGGAUCACAAACUUUCUGCCUGGUGCGAAGGCCUCAAGACAGGAUUCCACUCACACUAAUAAAUGGAGACUUCGCAAACCAUGAGGUCCUCAACCUAGCAGAGUACGUCUGGGGAGAUCUUAAGAUCAAGUACAAUUAUUAAACAGGCAGAACCUAACAGCUCCAUGCCUACACACCCUUGGUAAACAGCCAGGAUAUAAACGGAUGGAGGGAAAUGGCAGAGAGGGGAGGAAGAUAUUGGGACUUUGCCAGCCCACACAAAGAUUCUCUUUUUCUAAGAAGAGUACUCACCGCAAAGAAAGGAGAUUUGUGGAAAACACAAUCAAUUUCAGCUAUUUCUACUUUUGCCUACUCUUAAAAGUCAUAGUACACAUAUCCAUUUCUAUAUUUCAGAAUAUGCUGCCUGGCCUUCUCCUGAGUUAUGUAUUAGUCCAUAGGAGAAAAUGAUAGAAAUUUAUUUUUUUUUCUUUUACCAUCAAUAUGGUCCCACUGACCUUACUGAUCUUGGGGCCAAUCUGGCAAACAUGAUUUCCAGGUGUCUCCCAUCCCAUCUAGCCCAGGUCAGGUUGGGAAUGGUGUCUGAGAUGCCGCGAGAUCUGGCUUCAGGGGAAUUAGUAACUGUCUUCCGGAGCGGGACAGAGCCUGGCAGCGCAGGGUGUCCCCUAGAAGACCCGCGUCUGUGACCCGAUGUACCCCUGCACAGCCCAGGACCGAUCCAAGGGAGCCUGGAAGCUGCAGGAUACACGCAUGCGCAAUUCACCACUCCCUGCCCCCGCCCCGCACAUUCAGUCAUCCUGAAGUUUAGGCCCGAGUGAGCGGGGCUCGGCCUGGCCCAACCCGCUGACUUCCUGGGGCCAGUGGGUCCCCCUCGCUGCGAACCUGAUGCAGAGCGGGGAAGGUGGUUUAAGCCAGACCCCUUAGGACCCUGUGCUGGGAAGAGACACAGGGCUUCAGCUGAAGUCACGUCUCCCAGGUGUCUCUCAUCAGCAGACUUCCCUGCACUGCUAAGAAAUUUCCAGAAUUUAGAGGUGACUGACCCAACUUCCCUUCUUCGUGGGGACGGGUUUUUUUUCUUGGUAACAAGUUCCAGAUAAAAUAGUACCUCUGUACCUCUCACCCCUGAUUUGAUAGCAAACAGAUAACAGUCUGCAUAUCUGGUAAAUUGGUUUUUAAAUCUUUCUACUCAUACAGUCUUGUGUGGGUCUUGCUGACUGUGUGGUAUAUUAACUGUCCCACAUGUUUUCUACUAAUUGUGUGUUGGAUUAGACAAAAUUCCUGGUGAAAGCGAAGCAUUGUGGUCAGCAUGUUACAAUUUUCAAGUCGCGUAUAACAAAAACACAGGUAAGAAUAUUUUCUAAGGAGAGGCCUAUGUUGGAAGAAAAUUAAAUUAGGUGGCUUAUUAGGAUUUUUAUUGAAUUUUAAGAACUGUCUUAUUUGUUUUGCUCUUAGAAAGGGCCCAUCCACUGUCCUUUGAAAGCAUAUUAUGUAGUCUGUAACCAUAUCCUACAUGAUUAACCUUUUUGAGGGAGUUUAAUUUUUAAAUGGAUUGGGAAGCUUACCACUGGGACUAUUUUUAAAGCCUGUGAGGUAUUUCAUAACCUAACUAUUAUGAAAAUUUUAGCUAUUUGCUCUGGCUUCUGAUUAGAACUAUGUAUAGAACCGCUUCAUUUUAAUUAAUUUUUUUCUUACUAAUUAAGAAAUUGAGGCCCCAAGUUAUGAAAUGACUAACUACCCUGCUAUUUAGUGGCAAGAGACAACUUCAAGAGUUUUUUUUCUAUCGCAUGGUGAUACUUCGAUGUAUUUUAGUAAUUUGUAUUAAUUUGGUUAGAUCUUUGGAAGAAACCUAAGGGUCUUUUAGUGAAGCUAUUCUUUUUAUCUUAAAUAUUUGACAGCCCUGAAGUUAAUCACCAGCCGUUCAUUCAACAGAUAUAAUUGAACGAAUGCUAUAUUCAAGAGAUUCUAAGUGGCUAAGAAGGAGGGAGGUACAAAGCACGUAAGGCCUUGUCCCACCCUCGGGAAGGGUACAGUCUGGCAGGGAAGACAUUAUGUCCUGACAAUUCUCAGGGCGGACUUAGUAGGCACAAUAGGUGGUAACUAGGACCCACAAUAGUUUUAGGUGUAGGGGCCAUGAAAUGUUUUAAUUUCAGUGUCUUUUCAGGUCAGAAGAAAAAAUGAAUACAUCCAGCCUAGAUUAUAUUUGUCUUUAUACCAACACAGUCAUAAAAUAUCAUUUUUACUAUUUUUUUGUGGAGGAACUCUCCCAUGAAGGCAGAAGUGCCCAACACCCAUGAAAGUUGUGUCAUGGCUCUGGAAACGCUACCCCAGCAGAGCGAGCUGAAUGCGUCGUUUUUCCCACCUGUGGCCUCACAGGCCUUGUAGCUCUAUCUGCCUCUUGUCUCCUUUUCCACAUAGCACUCUUGGGAAUUUUUCUUCAGGCUAAAAUUUCCUUUGCAGAGGUCCAGUCCCAAAGAGAGCUCAGGUGAUUGAGCAGUAAAGGGUGGUUUUCUGACCUCUGGAACCAGGAAGCCUUUCCAUACAGACCCUGUAGAAUUCCAACACCAUGGCCUCAAAUUUAUGCCAUUUUAUGAGCUUGGCAAAGCCUCCCAAACAGACAAAUUUAAGAUUUUCCAAACUUCAUGACGUUAGUAGAUGUUCCUAGGGGAAAAAAAGGUUCUAUGACCAAAUAAUUUGGGGGAAUGCUAUAGAUAACAUAUCCUGCUCUUGUCUAUUAUCAAUGAGCAUAUUAUCUGUUAUCAGAUGCCCAACUGUAAGGAAACCUGGUUAGCUUUGUUUAACGCAGCAUUUUCCAAACUUAUUUGAACACAGAGCCCUUUUUCAAGAAUGUUUAUUAACAUUUCACGGGAAACUAAUGUCCCUUGGAACAUAAUUUGGGAAAUACUGGUCUACACCAGGCAUUGGCAAACCUUUUAUGUAAAGGGCCGUAUCGUAAAUAUUUUAGGCUUUAGGGGCCAGAUAGUCUCUGUCGCAAAUACUCAACUGUGCCAUUGUAGUUAGAAUGCAGCCAUGAACAUUACAUAAACACAGGGGUGUGGCUGUAUAUUCUGAUACAACUUUACCUACAAAAUAAGCGGUGGGCUGGAUUUGGCCCAAGGGCCCUAGUUUGCCAACCCAUGGCCUAUAGUUUCCACUAAAACUUUUCAGAAGAGCUCUAGCUCUAGCCAGAAAGGUUCCAAAGUCCUCUCACCACAUGUAAUUUUCAAAAACAAGCAAUCCAUCCUAAAGUUUUAUUUGUAAUGUAUCUUUUUGGGCUGAAACUAAUAUCAACCUAAAUAAAUGGCUUCUCUUUCCGUCAAAGGCCUUAAAAGUAUUUGUCAAAAGAGAGCAAAGAUCCUUGAUAAAAAACAGUGGUUGUCCCUGGAUGUGGGACUACAAGGGAUUUUUGUUUUCUUCGUUGCACUUUUCUGUAACAUUUUUGUAAUCAGAAACAAAAACCUUAGAAGGUUUUUUUUAAUAACCCCACUGCAGUUCAGUCUUUUUCAAAGUCUUUCUCUUGUCUUAACAAUAAAGCCACCUCAUGUGUGCAUGGCACUUGGUAAUUCCCAAAGCCUUAUAUGCUCUUUAAUUCUUAUCUCCCUCUCAGUUCCCUUUUUAAGUAAAAAGAGGACAGAUAUAGGUUCCGCUCUCAGCUUUCCUCAGUCCCUCCCUCAUGUUCUCACUCUCUAUGAUUUAAAUUUUCCCCUCUUUGUGACUGUCUCCUAAAUUUAUAUGCCUAGAUGUGAUCCAUCUCCUCUUAUCAGAAUCACCUUGGAAUUUAUUAAAUAUGCAGAUCUCUGGCUCCACCUGAGACCUAAUUCAUCAAAAUGCUCAAGGAUAGAGCCUGAGUUUAUUUAAAAAGUUCCGUAGUAAUUGAGAUGUGUACUCCAGGUUUAAAAGGGGGA